rnacentral:rRNA from 1 species
GACGAACGCUGGCGGCGUGCUUAACACAUGCAAGUCGAACGGAAAGGCCCUGCUCUUGUGGGGUGCUCGAGUGGCGAACGGGUGAGUAACACGUGAGUAACCUGCCCUUGACUUUGGGAUAACUUCAGGAAACUGGGGCUAAUACCGGAUAGGAGCUCCUGCUGCAUGGUGGGGGUUGGUAAGUUUCGGCGGUUGGGGAUGGACUCGCGGCUUAUCAGCUUGUUGGUGGGGUAGUGGCUUACCAAGGCUUUGACGGGUAGCCGGCCUGAGAGGGUGACCGGCCACAAUGGUACUGAGAGACGGCCCAGACUCCUACGGGAGGCAGCAGUGGGGAGUAUGGCGCAGUGGGCGGAAGCCUGAUGCAGAAACGCCGCGUGCGGGAUGACGGCCUUCGGGUUGUAAACCGCUUUCGCCUGUGACGAAGCGUGAGUGACGGUAAUGGGUAAAGAAGCACCGGCUAACUACGUG